UGAACAUGAUGCAAAAUCCAUUAUUAUAUAUUUAGGCCAUUUAUUGAGUUUACUCACAUUCUGAAAGAUUGAUAACUAUACCUAUUAAUAAGUGUCAGUGGUGUGUGUGUGUGUGUGUGUGUGUGUGUGUGUGUUCAA